rnacentral:lncRNA from 1 species
GCCAACACGUGCUGGCCAUCUCUGAUGACAUAGUGCAGUCAGAACAAGGUGUGAACUGAUGUGGUAUUGAUUCAUUUCUGGGCAAGGGAGAAGAAAAUGGAUAUCAAAGUGAGAGCAUACGUGACAUGGAGUCAGGUGCAGGCAGCCUCUGGCUAUGGUGGACACUGUUCCCUGCAUGGCAUGCCAAGGUGGAGGUAUGUCCGUGCUGCACUUGUCGCUAUGAAGGAAGAAGACCCCAUUUCCUAUAUUUUGAAGUUCUAAAGGAGGACCAAACGGCUGUUCUCCAUGCAUUCAUACCAACAGAAUUUCAUUCCUCUAUUAUUAUCUGCAUCCUCUGAGAUGACAGCCCAGCUUUCAUGCCAAUUUAGGAGUAAAUCACUGCCUUGGUUGUUCUCCUGCACUUGGUCUCAUCAGCACUUAACCUGUGCAGCCCUCCUUGUUCGCAGCCUGCAGGAGCACCUCCUUGCAGCCUAUCUGUGAUUCCCACAUGGAUCAGCUGCAGGAGUAUUAAGCGAUUAUUUACACCCAGUACUUUGGCAUUUUAAAGCAAUUUCAGUUAGCCAGAGUAUGAAGAAUUGGGAAAAGCAGGACUGCAGUGGUAGCCUCACUGCUAAAAACACAGAGAAGGCUCCUAGCUGAAGAUCUUCUGGAACUAAAACGGUGUUGGAUUUGCUUCUAUAUAUAAGUAUGCAGUUCCAGAAGCUCUGCUGCACUUCUAAAGGUGAUAUCUGAGUCUCUCCAGUCAUCACAAUCCAUGACAGCACAUUAUUUGAUUUCAUACAGCAUAUGGAUGAUUCAGGGGAUGAGGGGCAUUAUUAUCAGGCACUGUGUUGAUGUGUGGGGCUGCCCAAUAGCUCAGAAAUCCAGCACAGCCUUCCCAGCAAAGCUGCCCUGCUUCUGCUCAGGAGUCACUGAUGCUGGUCUGCAGAACCUCCGCUCAAAGAGCUUGAAAGGACUAUUUUAGCAGCUGGUGCAAACCAUCCAUCAGUGCUCCUGUCUUCGCUCUAGCUUGCACCAUUCUGGUUUGCCUUACUUCAGUUAUGAUGAAAUUUAGAGGAACUGCUCCUGACAAAUGAGACUCUCUAGUGGGUUGCUUCUUUAAACCAUUAACACAUGCUUAAACAUUGACAGAACUUAGAAUGAGAACUUUGAAAAGGAUGAUCCCUCAUUAUCAAAGGCAGCUGGUGGCAUGCCUCGGAUCACUGCUACGCAGUACUGCAUCAGUGUGAGCAUGGCCUUGUCUGAUCAACCCUAGGCAUGUCAGGAGAGGAGUGGGACAUGCUGCCCUUCAUGUUAUAAAAAUGGGGUGGAAAGCUGUUUGUUUACAGGCAGAACAGG